rnacentral:pre_miRNA from 1 species
UGCGCGGUGCGUAGUUUCAUAUGGGUAUGCUCCGUUGUGUAUUUUCGAAGCACCAUGUGAAGCUGCUAUCCGAACGGCGA